UACGUAGGGUCCAAGCGUUAAUCGGAAUUACUGGGCGUAAAGCGUGCGUAGGCGGUUUCGCAAGUCCGAUGUGAAAUCCCCGGGCUUAACCUGGGAACUGCGUUGGAAACUACGAGGCUAGAGUGCGGCAGAGGGGGGUGGAAUUCCAGGUGUAGCAGUGAAAUGCGUAGAGAUCUGGAGGAACACCGAUGGCGAAGGCAGCCCCCUGGGCUAGCACUGACGCUCAUACACGAAAGCGUGGGGAGCAAACAGG
rnacentral:rRNA from 1 species